AACGCUAGCUACAGGCUUAACACAUGCAAGUCGAGGGGAAACGACAUCGAAAGCUUGCUUUUGAUGGGCGUCGACCGGCGCACGGGUGAGUAACGCGUAUCCAACCUGCCCACCACUUGGGGAUAACCUUGCGAAAGUAAGACUAAUACCCAAUGACGUCUCUAGAAGACAUCUGAAAGGGAUUAAAGAUUUAUCGGUGAUGGAUGGGGAUGCGUCUGAUUAGCUUGUUGGCGGGGUAACGGCCCACCAAGGCAACGAUCAGUAGGGGUUCUGAGAGGAAGGUCCCCCACAUUGGAACUGAGACACGGUCCAAACUCCUACGGGAGGCAGCAGUGAGGAAUAUUGGUCAAUGGGCGAGAGCCUGAACCAGCCAAGUAGCGUGCAGGACGACGGCCCUAUGGGUUGUAAACUGCUUUUAUAAGGGAAUAAAGUGAGUCUCGUGAGACUUUUUGCAUGUACCUUAUGAAUAAGGACCGGCUAAUUCCGUGCCAGCAGCCGCGGUAAUACGGAAGGUCCGGGCGUUAUCCGGAUUUAUUGGGUUUAAAGGGAGCGCAGGCGGAGAUGCAAGCGUGACGUCAAAUUUCGGGGCUCAACCCCGUCUCGCGUCGCGAACUGCGUCCCUUGGUUGCGGGAAGGGGAGGCGGAACUCGUGGUGUAGCGGUGAAAUGCAUAGAUAUCACGAAGAACUCCGAUUG
rnacentral:rRNA from 1 species